CCUGUGGAGGGCGCCAUGCUGCUGUCGCCGCGGGGGCGGGCACUAGGCGGCCCCGGCAGCCCGGCUUCGUCGGGCGGUCCUGACUUCUCGCACCGUCCUGCCCGGCCGUCCGUGCCUGUCUGUGAGUCGCGUGGAAAGAGUGCUCUCCACCUCUGUAGCAUUGCCUAAGUUGCGAAGAGGAAUAUUGGAUGCAUCGUCAAAGUUGUGACCACAGAGCGGGCAAGAGAGCAUCGGAUACCAGCAAAGAGGGACACUCAGAUCAUGAGGGGUUAAACAGGAUAGACUUAAUAAAGGACUUAACACUCCAAGCCGCACAGGAAGCCCCAGGAACCACACAGAGGGGUUGCCAAUGGGAGGCUGCUGGAAGCACGAGUCUCAGGGGUCGGAAUGAAGUUUUGCCUGAAUUUACAGGCAAUCCUGUGAUCUCCCGUUGAGGUGCAGUCAACAGACACACGGAUGGAAGAAUAGACUUCCUGGUAUCUAAUAAGGACGGAUCUCAAAACUACUGGGGACAAAAAGAUGCUGUACUAUUUUUUGCUAAAUGCCUGCAUCCCAUCCCAUCCCCUCCUGAAGUAUAAAAUUUUCCUCAAGGCUCUUUACUGGUUUCAAGGCUCCUUAUGGCAGUGGAGCAGUACAAAGGAAUCACAGCUGAAUGGAGAAUCAAAAUUAAAAGGACAUGAGACUGAUACUGAACCGCGCUAUUUACUGAAAAUUUGGCCAAGGAGAGAAACACAAAACUGCUAAUUAUAGUGAUAUUACAACCAAGAAGGCAGUUUUUAUCCCAUGCCUGGAAGAUUAACUGUGUUCUAAUUUCCAAGCAGGGGCAAAGUUUCACAGCAAAGGUCUUCAGUUGAAAACAUUUGCCAGUAAUGAUCUCCCACUUCCUUCAAGAUGGGUUCAAUACAAACACUACUGCAGUAAUCUUUAAAGCGGGAGACUGUGACCCAUUUCUUUGAUUAAAGUUUUGAUUUGCAGGUCUUUCACCAGUUCCCAAAAUCCAGUCUGAAAACAUAUGCCUGCAGACAUCAUAAUUUAGACCCAGCUUCAUUAAAGACAAAAUCAAACAGCUUGGUUUUCUUUGGCUACCUCAAAGCUGUAGAAAGUCACACUGUCCUCUCUGUUCACUACAUCCAAAACUCCCUUUUGGUUUCAAAAUUUAUUAUCCAAAUGCAGGACACAUGAUUACUAGAACCUUGAUCUCCAAACACAGAACCCUGUUGCUCUAAAGACAUUUUUCUAUGAACUCUGAAAACAAACGACCCCCCUGUUCUCUGCCUGCCAACUGUCUGAGGCUAUGUCUACAUUAGCAAAUUGUGUGGUGCAGUCAGAAUGAAUCCACAGAUGGAAAAUGGUUGGUGGUGAUGAUCCAACAUUGGCAUUAGACAUACUUCAGCUUUUGCCUGGUCCCCUGGACUGAAUGUCCAGUAGCGGUAAAGCACAUUUAGAACCGAGAACACUCAGUCCUCAAGCACAUUGUUUGGUUUAGUUUCAUCCAAACAGAAUCUAGUUCAUACACUCUGAGACCACUCUGUGAUGCAAACCACAGCACAGUAAGUGGGAAAAAUCAGGAGAAUCACUUCAAAAGCGCACUUCUGAUCUGAAAUAAGUCAUUAACGUCAACACAUCUUGUGUGAGCCUACAUCUGUCUAGGCUUAGCCAGCUAGAGGUAGGUUUUAAGGACAACGUCAAAAAAAUGAGCAAAUUCUGAUGCGCUCAAGUCAGAGGGCUGAUGUAACUACAGUGUGUCUACAUUGUAUCUACAAUGUGUCACCGAUGUGACUACAAGUGUCAGCACUCCCCACUAGCAGAAUAAUUUUUUUCACCUUGGAUGAACUAGCUUUAAAUUUCAGGUGUAUUUUUUUUUAACUUACUUGUCAGAAGGAUGUGAAAAAGGUGGAACCAGUCAGUCAAAUGUUACUAGCAUGAGUUGUACCAAGCAACACCAACCAAUCUAACUGGUGAUUAAAACCUGUUUCAGGGUGCAGUUCAGCCUGUGGAAAUGAAAUCUUUAAAAAAAACACCUAAAGAUAAAGCCUAGGAAAAAAAUAUCCUUUUCUGUUAUUCUGUGACUAUCCUGAAAUGCACACAUGAAAUACAAAAUCAUGGCAGUGGUGUUGCAUUUGAGAUUUUGCCUAUGGAAGACUGAUGUUUCCCCAGGCAUUUAUUUUUGCAUUUGUAACCCAGUUAGGGAAAUGGCAUGCAAGGAAGAAACCUUUCAAAAAGCUUCAUGAACAGAAAAUACUUACUGUAUAUGCAGACCACUAUGUUUUAUUGCAGAUGUUUAGCGAGUACUGCAGGCAAGGCAGAAGCAUGAAACAACCGAGGUCCUUCUAGCUUCUAUAAUUUUUUAAUUCGUGGCUUUACCAGAGAUUGAUGGAAGAUUUAUAAGAGGCUCGCAGCUUGUAAAUAAUGAAGAAAUUCAGCCACCAGGGGUUUUGCUGUUGUUAUUCUCCCCACACACUAUCAUAUUCUACAAAGAACAGUUAUGGCGUUUUGAUGGAACUGGAAGGAGAAAUGGGAUUCUUCUGAUAAAGGCCAAGUGAGAGUUCCACAGAAAGCAGAGGUACAGCACAUCCUGAAUAAACAGCUGAGAGAAGUAUGAUGAGUACUCACUCCUACAGAGACUUCUGAGUUACUGAAUUGAAUCCUGAACCCAAAAUUUCCUAAGUUUGCAUGUAAACUUUAUACAGAAAAGAUUCCAGCUGUUGCUGAAAUGUAAGAAAAUACAUUAGAUAUCUCCAGAAGAAACUCCAGCCUAUCUCAAAGCUCUGCAGCUAAAAUUACUCUGAAUAAAGGUUAUGCCAUCCUUCCUCCUUAUGAUGUCAUAUAUAGCCAUAUGUGAUACCUGUCUUUCUAACAUACAUGUUUACAGGCACUAAGUGAUGAUUAAUUAAGGUUGGCUGUGUUCCUCGUGUAUUUUUAUUUGGUUGAAUUAUACACUGUAUACAUGAUGGUGAUGACUUUAAAGAUGAUUAAAACAUUUCAUUAGCUAAACAAGAGAUACCCUUUCACUGUGGAAGCAUUCUGCAAAAGAGAUAACAAUUGCCAUGAGGCUUACUGAAGUCUAUGUAAGAGUUUUUCUAUUGUUCAUACUGGACUAUCAGAUAUAGACAGCAUAUUAAAAGAGAAAAUCAUAAAAACCAAUUCCAGUAUUUCUUCUAAGAAAUCAUUUAUUUUGUUGGUAAGAAAUAGCAAAAUGCAGACAUGACUGCUACAGAGCAAUAAAAAGUGUGCCAACAAAAAACCUCUCAUGAUUGUGACAGUAGAUUAUUUAAUCUGAAAUGUGUGACUCUUUUACCUAUAACUUGGAGAAUAAAGGUUUUAUAUAUUUCAAAAAACACAUAUUAGCUCCUCUUUUAAUGGAGAAAAUAGUUAAAGACUUUGAUAAAAAGGACACAUCUUUGUGGCCUCUCAUAAUUGGAAUGUAAUAUUUAGCAUAGUUAUGUUAAUAUAGGUUUACAAGGGGAAUAUUCUAGUACAUAUCUGAAUAAA